GACGAACGCUGGCGGCGUGCUUAACACAUGCAAGUCGAGCGAUGAAGCACCUUCGGGUGUGAAUUAGCGGCGAACGGGUGAGGAACACGUGAGAAAUCUGCCUUCAACUUUGGGAUAACUCCGGGAAACCGGGGCUAAUACCGGAUAUGAGACCUGCAGGCAUUUGCGGGUCUGGAAAGUUUUUUGGUUGAAGAUGAUCUCGCGGCCUAUCAGCUUGUUGGUGAGGUAAUGGCUCACCAAGGCGACGACGGGUAGCCGGCCUGAGAGGGCGACCGGCCACCCUGGGACUGAGACACGGCCCAGACUCCUACGGGAGGCAGCAGUGGGGAAUAUUGGGCAAUGGAGGAAACUUUGACCCAGCGACGCCGCGUGCGGGAUGAAGGCCUUCGGGUUGUAAACCGCUUUCAGCAGGGAAGAAGCGAAAGUGACGGUACCGGCAGAAGAAGCACCGGCUAACUAUGUG
rnacentral:rRNA from 1 species